CCCUUGCUUUAAGUUUUCUUGGCAGUUUUAGUAACAUAAAGCAACUGGAGCAUGUUAUAAAUGGGGCACCACCCGCAAUAGGAUGGCAAAGACGCACAUUUCCACGAGCUACAACCACCCUCCUUGGACGCCUCUGAUGAAAAACAUUCACAUCUGAAUCGAGGUCACUAGGCCAACUACCAUGUGACUGUGGAUCUUGUGCGUGAAAUUUAGGAGGAUUGGCUUGAGGUUUGCAUUUCUUUGACCCAAAUGUGAUAGGAUUGACACGGUAGUUGAAGUGGGAAUCAGUUGGGUCCUUCAAAAUAUUUUUAUUGCCGAAAACAGAGACUGGGACUCGUGAAGAAACAUGUCGAUUAUUGUUGUAGCAGUGGAAACAUGCACAAGGAGGAUCUUGAUAUGGUGUUCCACAAGGAUAAGAUGCAAUGCGUUGUUCUUGGUUGAAAUCCCUGUAUUCCUCUAGCACGUAAUCAGCAGGAGUUUGCUGCCAACACUGACCAGGUGGUUGAUGGGAACUCAUCCUGGGUAAUUUUAGUUGAAUGGGAUCCUCAUAAACCGGAAAUUCAUUUGCAACGUGAUUUGGAGGAAAAUAAAAGUUUUGCAUAUCUAUAUCACGGCCAUGUUGCUUAAAGUAAGGGUUUCUUUGGACAUGCUUAUCUGGAGCUAAAGGUUUCACCGGAACAUUGUAAGUAGCACUAUCAUGGUAAGCACCAAAGGCCCCUUCACUUUGUUUCUCAGCUGCAGAACCAUUUCUGCAGAUAUGUUC
rnacentral:misc_RNA from 1 species